CCACCUGCAUGUAGCUGCCUUACCUCAAAGCCAGAGAAGCUCGACACCGUCAAGUGAAAUUGGAGCCACCCCCCCAAGCAGCCCCCACCACAUCCUAACCUGGCAGACUGGGAGCUACAAUGAUAGCUGUUUCCUGGAUUCCUCCCUCUAUCCAGAACUAGCUGAUGUCCAGUGGUACGGGCAGGAAAAAGCCAAGCCCGGGACCCUCGUGUGAGCCAGCCCGGCCUAAUCUGACCGCCUCAACGCCAUUCUGAGAUCACCUCACUGCCUCUCAUUUGCCUUACCCAGACGCACCGUCACCCUGCACCAGCUUCGGCCCUCAGCACUUUUUUUCUCCUGUCUCCGCAUUCCCUCCCCCUUGAAAACCUGACUGAGGAGACAUUCUGGAAGGUUCCGGUCCCACUGUGUGUCCCCUGGCGCUCUUGCCCAUAGAGAGCCAGACACCAAUCCUCAAUGGCACCUUGGUGGCUUCCCUCUGCCAUGACAGCCCCUAGGCCAGGAACUGUCAGGGGGGCCAGCCGGCAUCCAAUUCCUGCGGAUAAGUAGCGUUGGGAGAGAAUGGGAAAGGGGACUUGAGUUACAGGGUGACCCAGAAAGACGAUUCAGCUCUGUCCAGCCUGCCACCCAUACGUAGGCCAACCAAGCACUUCAUGAAGAGGAGGCCUCGUGGCAUAUUCAGUUUACACCUGAAAUAUUCCUUGAUGGGACAGCUUGUGGGGAUGGCUAUGGGGGAAGGGGAGGUUGAGAAAGGAAGUUCUCGACACCAGAAAUGCAUCGGAGGACCACAAUCAGUUCUAUGCUGCCAAAGAUUACAAAUAAAUAAAAACAUAAAAAAUUCAGAGGGGCCAAGAGGAAGACAUUCUUUCUGCAAGGAA
rnacentral:sRNA from 1 species